rnacentral:lncRNA from 1 species
GAGAGAGAGAGAGAGAGAGAGAGAGAGAGAGAGAGAGAGAGAGAGGGAGAGAGAUAUCCUCGACUACCAGCCAGUCAGCCAGCCCCGGCCAACAUCGACCGGGUAUUGUCGCGUCUGCGCUUGCGUCACUGUUAUCCAGGACUAUCAACCUUGCCUCAAUUCCUGAUCGUCCGUUUUCCGUGUCCCCGUUCGUACUUGUGUGUGCGCGCGUGUGUGCCGGGGCUACGUGUAUACACGCGCGUGCACACGCGCGUGCCUACGUGCGCGCCACGGACACGCGAUGCCCGCGCGACUCGCGCGCGAUAUCAUCCUCCGCAGUGAGCGAGGCGUCGCGCGUCGCGCGCCGGCCGAUCGAGCGGCCGAUCAAAUCGAUGAACGCGUAGGUUUCUCGCAUUCGCGGAUAGUCAUUUUCUGCAUGAUCAAUGAGACUCCAAAUAUGUGAAAACUGACGCGCGUAUCGGCAAAAGGGUCGUUGCCUGGCUGCACUAUUUAGCAGCAACGUUAAUAACGUUUACCUACGGCGAUUUUGUUGCUGACUUGCCGUUAGCGGCCAAAAUUUGUACAUCGACAUCGUACACGAAACCGCAUGCCGAUUGCUACUGUAUCACCCAUCAGUGACAAGUCGUUUGCCGAUUUGUCAAGAUUAUUGAUGGUCCUAUCGAUGGAUAAAUGCUUUACGUCCGACUGCACUCGUCGUACGAGUUAUUGUUGCUUCAGCAAAAUUAGUCCCACGAAAAUAUUCCAGUUAAGCAAAGAUAAUUGUACAUAUACAAAUAUCGAAAGAAAAAUGUAAGUUGCAAGAAUAUAAAUAAAAAUAGAAAUGUAAUGUGAAAUUUGUUAGUAUAUAUACAAAGGCCUUGUAGUUUAGCCUUUCUAUUGGAAAGAUAUUAAAAUAUUGUGUAAAUGCAAUUUCUCUUUAUAAUUUAUAUCAGUUAACGGAAUAUAUGAAGAAAUAUGUCUAUAAAAAUCAAACAAGUCCAUUUUUUUUAUCUUAAUUAUGGCGCCAAAUCAUUCUUUAUUGGUAGCGUUACAUCACAAAUAAUUUUAUUAUUCUUACAAGACUCAAUAAUUUCAAGGGCCCAUUUUUUAAAAUAAAUUUACAAAAUAUUACUCGAAAUCUAAAACAAAGUUUUAUACUUUAUAUGUUCGGAGAAAAAUUAUCAUAUUUGCACAAUGAACAAUUUAAAAAUAAGGUUUUCUAAAAAUUUAAUUUUUUGUAUUAAUUUUUGCAGGAAACUCUAUCUAUAUAAUAUUCACACAAUUUAUUUGUUCAUAAUUUAUUAAAAAAGGCUCUUAAUCCAUUGAUAUACUACAUGUAUUGAUAUAUUAUAUUACUAAAAAAUAAAAAUGCAAUAUUAAAAAAAAUAGUCAUGUGUCACAUCGUGUAAAGAGUGAUGAGAAAAUAUUUCAAAUGUUAUACGUCCGAACUAAAAUCUCCUGCAAGAUCCUUCCCCCAAAUACUCCGCGCAAGAAGGCAGAAACCCCAUGUCCAAUAUGAAAUCGAUUAUUAACGUCGACUUCGUCGAAGAACCGAGAUCCACCAGCGGCAUGGAACGGCUUUCGAGGUUAUACGACGUGCUCGGAAAGCUUUCGCAGCGCCAAUACAAUGAAUGAUGUCAAUAUAGGGAAAAAACGUUUCAAAGCUUUUACGCACGCCGCCAUGAACUUAUCAAUGUCGCUUUUAUGUUCUACAUUGUUGACGGAAUCGCAAAAUCGCCCACACAUGUCACUAAAUUCGAUUAUCCUGCUGAAAUGACUGACGGGUUACAGAGUUUCGACCAAAAACGAUUUCGUCAUGGUAUAUUUGCAAGUAUUUAUUCCGAUAUGAGAUGAAAAAACAACGAUAAAACGAUGUGAUGUAUUAAUGUACAUUAAUAAUGCAUUUUAUAAAUAAUAAAUUGUACCAGCGCGCAACGAAAAAUGCGCGGCGUUAUUUAUUACCGCUUCUGUUUCCCGGCUCCAUUAACGCUCAUUUCGAAUCAAUUUAGUCAAGUCAAUGUAAAAUAAUUAGAUUAUAAAUAUAACAAAAAAAUAAUAGUAGGUACACAAAGUAGCAACGUAUUCAUUAAUAAUUUCUAAUGGUAGCAAAUUUAUUUCAGCAUCUCUUUGCAGUUUUCAGAGAAACACUUUUAAUAUAAAAAGUAUAAUAUUAAUUGAAGAAUGAUCCUCUUAACAAGUAGAUUUAAAAUAAUAAAAGAAAACUAAAUGCUAAAGGCUUUAAUAAAUAUACUAAUGUUAAAAAGGUGUACGUAAACGCAGCAUAAUCUUAUGUUCUACGAAAACGUGAUUCUUUUGUACGUUCUCUUUUGGGCUCUUUAGAAAUCCAUUCUAAGCGGUUAUUAAAUGACGCUCUCGUGCAGGGUUGGAUCGUCCACUUGGUGCCAGAAGCAAUCGUACUCUGUCACCCCACUCCGAAAACUAUGAGGCGUUUAAUUAACUCCGGGGAGGCCAGGAAAGAGAGACCGUAGAAUUCACAUGCAAAUGUUCUGUGACACGAUUGCGGAACAACCAUUUCUUUUUCCAACUGAAACUCGGCUACCAAAACGACCACCGACUUUUGACACUUCGUCCCAACUAAUUGUAAGUUUCACACGGAAAUAUCGUCAUUUUAACAAAGAAAACAAAAUUCACGUAAAAAGUAUUCAAUAUAAAAAGAACACGUAAAAAGUAUUUAAAAAGGACGCUAUAUACGUAUCUUUCUUCGAAGCGUAUUGUCACCUCAAAAAUAGCGUUCAGAAAAAUAAAAUAUUCCAAUGAGAAGACGCCAAGAAAAAGUGAAAAGAAACUAAUUAUUAUAGUUAUAUAUGAAAGAAUGCUCGUUAGAAAUGCUAAUGUUAUUAUAACAUCGUAAAAAUAACGAUUACGACGAGACCGAUAAUGUAAAGUAAUUUCGAAUCAUCAUGAUGAUGUAACGCAAAUAUCCGCAACGCAUCAUUGGUAGAGAACGUAAAAAAAAGUUUCACUUCUACAUGGCCUGUCGUUAGUGUAAUCGGAUGCGCGAAUGAGUCACCAUGCCGCAAGAAAAUGAUGGACGCGAUCGCGCAAUCGCGAGUAGUCAAGUCACGCAUAGAUCAGCCAGAAAGUAAAGAAUGCUGUAAUCGACAGACUAAUAAUACCUGAGAAAGUUGGCCGACAUUAACGCGAUUGCACGUUAAUCUCGCAUUAAAAUCAUUACAGUUUUUUUACUUUUCUUUUGCCGACAUACAGAAUGCUCACAAAAAUUGUAGAUUCUAUUAAAAUUAUUAACAUGUAGAUUUUAUUACUUCAUAGCAACAGACGAUUAAAAAUGCAUCAUUAAUUAUUAAAACUGUCUACAAUUUAAUGGUUUGUAUUGUAUAUGUUUAGUUUUUUGUUUUAUUUAUUGUUUUGUUAACUCGAAAAUUUCUUGUGUAAGAAUAUACAGUAUUGCAAUAAAAGCUGAUUAUGUAAAACUAAUGGUUUCUAUAUAAAGAGUGCAAACAUGAUAUAUUAUUAUGUUAUAUAGAAAUAUGUCUGUAUAUUAAAAAAAAAUACAAUUGUAAUAAAAGUAAUGUCAAAAUAUAUCUUAAAUUUUGCACAUACUUAAAUGUUAUGAUUAGUUAACUUUAGUGUAACUUUAAUUUUUCAGAUAUUAUCGUUCAUUGUUACGUGCAAAGUAUAAAAAAAUUCGCGCACCCGGAAAUUAAAGAUGACACAUCGCACGUCGCUUAAUUUACAUUCUCGUCGGGCAAUGCGAUUAUAUCUUAAAUUAUUAUACAUCGGGUGUUCAACAUUUUUCCAAUAAAUGGCAUUUAUAAGCGAAAGAAGUGGUGCACCUUCACUCUGAAAUCGAUCGAUGGUAUUCCACUCACGCGUUUACGAUGCGAAACGUAAGAAGGCGAUUAAUCGCGAGUAAGAGUCUUCGAAUCGGGGGAGAGAAAGAGAAAUAAAACACCAUGAAACGUAAGGACGAAGGACACAGAAAACGGAACGACGGCAAGCCGAUCACCGGCUUUGACGAUUCGAGUUCCCUCGCGAAAGGCGAACCGCGCCGUUGCUGGUGAUAAGAUCGCAAUGAGAUGAUGAGAAAUUGUUUUUACCCGCACUCUCGCACUGUCCCCGCGUACGAUACACACAAGAUCUGCACUUCCGAAGGAUAAACGGAGGAGAAAAAAAAAAUUACUAAAUCCUACCUGAUUCAAUGGUUGAAUCCAUUGAGCAGCGGUUUGAUAUCGCCGAGGGAUAUCUCUGUUCUUUUGAAAGCAAGCCCGGGAUUUGAAGGAAGAAGGAUACGUUGGCGAAGGAGCAAGUCUUUGAAAGAGGAAGCGGAAGGAGAUCCCGAGUGCCAACGGGAAGAGAGGGAUGGACGAAAGAAGGAGCGAGAAGAGGGCUUACUCUGACAAUACAUCCGCUCUCCGGGGGUGCAACGCGAGGGAGUGCUGACUGACAGACAGCUCCUGUCUACUAGAUAUCCGAGCAAAACCUACACCUCUCUCCUACAUGCUGUAUAGUAUCAGCCAUCCUGUUGGGAGAGAUCUACCACCUCUUCUAUAAAUCACAAAAGGGAAAGCACGCGCUUCUAAAAGUCGGAACUCUUAGAAACGUUUCAAUAAAUGUGCAUUAUAAGAUUUCCUUUUGUGAUCGCCCAUAAUCAAGGAAUAUCCUGUUUGAUCAGAAACGUUUCGCGUCUCUCUACACAAUGUACUAUAUACAGUACCGUCAUUCGGGGUUGCAGGAUAUCCGACAAAAUACCCAGGGAAAGUUUUUUAACGUAGUGACGUAGCACGAGAGCGACUAUCGCCGAUAGACAAUUGCUCGCCUCCUUGUAACAAGAACGCUCGUUUCUGCUGCUUAAUAAAGCAACUCUCUCCUUUUACGACGCGAUAUAGGUACAGGAAUCCUACCGCCGUAAAAAUCUUUCCCCCGAGUCGAGAAACUCUCCCCCACCUGGGUUACGUUCGUCGAUCGGUGGGGCAGCCAUAAACGAGAGCGAUUUAUAUCAAACCUUUGGACGAUGACUCGCGGCGAUCGUAAUGGGACACCCGGUAGAAUGGACCGUAGGCGGCGGACAGCGCGUUUUGCGGUGACAGAGCGUGUCUGAUGGAGGGUUGUCACGGUGCGGGAGCACCCCUCAGACUUCGAUAUUAAAGCCCUCCUCUAAUAUAAGAGCAAAAGCUCCGCUCUCUCUACCGUCGAUAUGCUCGCCUCAAAUCUUUUUCCCUUCCUAAAGGCAGUGAUAUCGCGCUUGUGUGUCGUUAUAUUCAUACGCGUAAGCCCGAUAAAAGGGGAGAAGGGAAAACUAAAGGGUAGUCUCGGUUAAAACUCGCGUGCGCGCGAGAUUUUUUUUAAGCACCGACCCUCAGCGAAAGAGCGAAAUCUAUUUAAGAGAAUAUAUCUUCUGCCUUCUAAUUUGUGUAUCUCUUGAUGAGUGGAGAUGGAAAAGAACUGAGCUGGAUUAGUUCGAGAGUGAACAUAUAUCGCGCAAAACAUAAAA